AUAGUUGUUGAUUUGGUAAAAGUGGGAUUGCAGUUUUAUUGUUUAUUUGUAAAUAGUGUAAAAUAUUUACGAUUUGUUCGUUUUGGUGUGGAAACUUUUAAUAUCUGAAUUCUCCAGGUGGAAACUUUUCAUUUAUGAAUUCAAAAGAUUACACAUCCUCCAUUAUUGAUGUAUUGACUAUUGUUAAUACACAUUUCAUUGUGAAAUGGAUUGGCGAGUCGACUAUCCACUAGGAUUAUAGGAUUUUCUGCUGAUUGGUUGAUACAUGGGCUUCCUCGUGCAAUGAUUUGUUGUGUGAUGUGGAAAGUUGAAAACAAAAUAGUAACAUCAUGGAUAAUAUGGUGAAAUGGAUCGCAAUAUUUUUUCUAAUGGCCAUCUGCCGUAUAUCUACUGAGAAUACCAAGGACCUACCUAUUAUAAAACUUUACA